GGACCGAGUGCAAGGUGCUGCAUGGCUGUCGUCAGCUCGUGCCGUGAGGUGUUGGUUAAGUCCCGCAACGAGCGCAACCCCUAUUCUUAGUUGCCAGCACAUCAUGGUGGGGACUCUAAGAAGACUGCCGGCGCAAGCCGAGAGGAAGGUGGGGACGACGUCAAGUCAUCAUGGCCCUUANNCCUAGGGCUACACACGUGCUACAAUGGUGCAUACAGAGGGCAGCGAACUAGCGAUAGUAAGCGAAUCUCAGAAAGUGCAUCUCAGUUCGGAUUGGAGUCUGCAACUCGACUCCAUGAAGUUGGAAUCGCUAGUAAUCGCGUAUCAGCAAUGACGCGG
rnacentral:rRNA from 1 species